CUUGGUCAUUUAGAGGAAGUAAAAGUCGUAACAAGGUCUCCGUUGGUGAACCAGCGGAGGGAUCAUUACAGAGUUGCAAAACUCCCUAAACCAUUGUGAACGUUACCUAAACCGUUGCUUCGGCGGGCGGCCCGGGUCCUUCCCGGCGCCCCUCGGCCCUCGCGGGCGCCCGCCGGAGGUAAACCGAACUAUUGCAUUGUAUGGCCUCUCUGAGUCUUCUGUACUGAAUAAGUCAAAACUUUCAACAACGGAUCUCUUGGUUCUGGCAUCGAUGAAGAACGCAGCGAAAUGCGAUAAGUAAUGUGAAUUGCAGAAUUCAGUGAAUCAUCGAAUCUUUGAACGCACAUUGCGCCCGCCAGUAUUCUGGCGGGCAUGCCUGUUCGAGCGUCAUUUCAACCAUCAAGCCCCGGGCUUGUGUUGGGGACCUGCGGCUGCCGCAGGCCCUGAAAUGCAGUGGCGGGCUCGCUGUCACUCCGAGCGUAGUAGUUACAUCUCGCUCUGGGCGUGCUGCGGGUUCCGGCCGUUAAAAGCCUUAUUUUACCCAAGGUUGACCUCGGAUCAGGUAGGAAGACCCGCUGAGCUUUAAGCAUAUCAAUAAGCGGAGGA
rnacentral:rRNA from 1 species